UUUUGUAGUUGUUGUUGGUGGUGGUGGUGGUGAUGGUGAUGAAUCAUCAUCAUCAUCAUCAUCAUCAUCAUCAUCAUCAUCAUCAUCA
rnacentral:pre_miRNA from 1 species